AUUGAACGCUGGCGGCAUGCUUUACACAUGCAAGUCGAACGGCAGCACGGGUGCUUGCACCUGGUGGCGAGUGGCGGACGGGUGAGUAAUACAUCGGAACGUGUCCAGAAGAGGGGGGUAACGCAUCGAAAGAUGUGCUAAUACCGCAUAUGCUCUGAGGAGGAAAGUGGGGGAUCGAAAGACCUUACGCUUUUGGAGCGGCCGAUGUCUGAUUAGCUAGUUGGUGGGGUAAGGGCCUACCAAGGCGACGAUCAGUAGUUGGUCUGAGAGGACGGCCCGCCACACUGGGACGUGAGACACGGCCCAGACUCCUACGGAGGCAGCAGUGGGGGAAUUUUUGGACGAAUAGGGGGCGGAACCCUACGAUCCACGCCACUUCCGUCCGUGAGUGAAGAAAGGACCGUCG
rnacentral:rRNA from 1 species